rnacentral:rRNA from 1 species
ACUCAAAGGAAUUGACGGGGACCCGCACAAGCAGCGGAGCAUGUGGUUUAAUUCGAAGCAACGCGAAGAACCUUACCAAGGCUUGACAUCGUAUGCAUAAUACAGAGAUGUAUGAAUCCCUUCGGGGCAUACAGACAGGUGGUGCAUGGUUGUCGUCAGCUCGUGUCGUGAGAUGUUCGGUUAAGUCCGGCAACGAGCGCAACCCUUAUGAUAUGUUGCCAAUAUUAAGUUAGGAACUCAUAUCAGACUGCCGUGGUUAACACGGAGGAAGGUGGGGAUGACGUCAAAUCAUCAUGCCCCUUACGCCUUGGGCUACACACGUGCUACAAUGGCCGGUACAAAGAGCAGCAAACUCGUAAGAGUGAGCGAAUCUCAAAAAGCCGGCCUCAGUUCGGAUUGAGGGCUGCAACCCGCCCUCAUGAAGCAGGAGUUGCUAGUAAUCGCGAAUCAGAAUGUCGCGGUGAAUGCGUUCCCGGGUCUUGUACACACCGCCCGU